rnacentral:rRNA from 1 species
GAAUAUUGGACAAUGGAGGCAACUCUGAUCCAGCCAUGCCGCGUGCAGGAAGACGGCCCUAUGGGUUGUAAACUGCUUUUAUACGGGAAGAACCACAUCUACGUGUAGAUGCUUGACGGUACCGUAUGAAUAAGGACCGGCUAACUCCGUGCCAGCAGCCGCGGUAAUACGGAGGGUCCAAGCGUUAUCCGGAAUCAUUGGGUUUAAAGGGUCCGUAGGCGGAAUAAUAAGUCAGUGGUGAAAGUCUGCAGCUCAACUGUAGAAUUGCCAUUGAUUCUGUUGUUCUUGAAUUAGUAUGAAGUGGUUGGAAUGAGUAGUGUAGCGGUGAAAUGCAUAGAUAUUACUCAGAACACCUAUUGCGAAGGCAGAUCACUAAUACUAUAUUGACGCUGAGGGACGAAAGCGUAGGUAGCGAACAGGA